UACGUAGGGGGCGAGCGUUGUCCGAAGUUACUGGGCGUAAAGCGCGCGUAGGCGGUUCGCUAAGUCCGGCGUGAAAGGUUCAGGGCUCAACCCGAACAGUGCGCUGGAGACUGGAGAGCUUGAGGACGGGAGAGGGAAGCGGAAUUCCGGGUGUAGCGGUGAAAUGCGUAGAUAUCCGGAGGAACACCGAUGGCGAAGGCAGCUUCCUGGCCCGUAUCUGACGCUGAGGUGCGAAAGCGUGGGGAGCGAACGGG
rnacentral:rRNA from 1 species